rnacentral:rRNA from 1 species
GUUCGGAAUUACUGGGCGUAAAGCGCACGUAGGCGGAUUAGUUAGUCAGAGGUGAAAUCCCGGGGCUCAACCCCGGAACUGCCUUUGAUACUGCUAGUCUUGAGUUCGAGAGAGGUGAGUGGAAUUCCGAGUGUAGAGGUGAAAUUCGUAGAUAUUCGGAGGAACACCAGUGGCGAAGGCGGCUCACUGGCUCGAUACUGACGCUGAGGUGCGAAAGUGUGGGGAGCAAACAGGAUUAGAUACCCUGGUAG